CCCAGAUACAGAUGUUCUGGUUCUCUGAGCAUGUCACAUUACCCAGGUCCUUAGGAACACCCAGGGCUGAACUGUGUUCUUGGUGAGCUUUGAAUUGGAUGGGAGAAAAAGGUUUGCAGCAGUGAUGCCUUCCAGCUCCCACUGGCACCAACCCUUGCUGCUCAGCACCUCCAAGAUGCUCCAGCCGUGCCCGUGUUGGCAGGACCUGCCCAUCUGCUGCUCCCAGCUGUGAGGAUGUGCCAGCGAGUGGGCCUUCCACAGGUGAGAAAUGCUGAGGUUGGUGCUAGAAAGCAAAGACAGUGAGCCAAGGCAGCAGAACUGAUGUGAGGUCAACCACACAGCGUGCAUCGCCGCUUUCACAGCAGGGAGGUAGGAAGGAG
rnacentral:lncRNA from 1 species